CUGGUAUCGUAACGUUAUGUUUAGCUCGUAAGAAAGCGCAGAACUGCUUUCCAGAGCGGCUGUGCCAUUUUGCAUUCCCAGCAGCCACGAAGAAGGGUUCUCACUGCUCCGCGUCCUAGCCAGCACUCACUGCUGCCAGAUUCCUUUUUCAUUUUAGCCAUGAUAACGACUGAGUAGCAGCAUCUCUUUGUUUUGAUCUGCAAUUCUGUAACACGAGAUGGGCCUGCGUCCUUCCUGCCAUCUGCACGUCUUCUUUGAUGGUUCCUGUGCAUGUUCUCCUUCGUUAGCAUGCUAAUUUAUUCUGACUCAUCGCGAAACUGUUGCAGGCGGGGCUGGCGCACACCUCAAUGCCACAGCAAGACCCGGGGGCCCGUGAUUCCCAGCUGGAACAGGAGCCCUCCCUGGGGGCUGUCACCAACACCGGGAUCGGGAGGGCAAGGCUGGAGACACAGGCUCUGCGAACGUUCACGCCAGAAAGUUCCGGAUAGCGCACAAAGGGUCAGCUUCUGGGACACCCAGCCUACUGUCCCGUCCUACUGGGCAAAACUCACCGACAUGGCCACCCUGACCGCUUGGGCUGGAAAACAGGUAUCCAUUCAAU